rnacentral:lncRNA from 1 species
CGGUCAGACCGUGAGCCGGACAUCAAUCCGGUCCGGUUAAGCUUAAAAACCGGGGAGUACGCGAACCGGAAAAAAAAACCGGGCGAACUAUUAUUAUUAUUAUUAUUAUUAAAUAUAAAAUCAAACAAAGGAAGAGAAACAAACAAAAUCGUCAUCAAUUAUUAAUAUUAUUUUUUAAAUGAAAAAGAUCAAAUCAAACACACCAGGAACAUAACUCUGUUUCCACUAUGUUUCAACAAAACGUGAAAGUCUUCCCCUUCUUCUUAAUUUCUUCCAACAAGAUUUUAAUCUCAGGUAUUAACUUUCAAUUGAAGCAGCAAGAAUAUGUAUAGAUUAGAUGGGUGAAAAACUAUUUUGUUGAACUUGAAAAGUCAAGAUUUGUGACCCAUGAUUAGUGGAAUAUUGGUGCUAUAUGAGUUUUGGAGGUUUGAGCUUAUAAGAUGUAUUGCUAUAAGAUGUAAAAAAAUAAGAAAUAAAAAAGUUGGAAGAAGAAGAAGAAUAGAUGUAGAGAGAUUUGGAAUUGAGUAGGUGGCUGUUGCCUGCUAGUGUCUAUCUCAAACAUUGUAAAGUAAAGUUAUUGUAAUUUAUAAAUUAGGGUUUAAUGAUGGAUCCAUGGUUGGGCUUACAAGAGAAGCCCAUAUCAAUUUUUUGUUUAACUUAUUUUACAUUAUUAGUUAUUAAAAAAAACUUAUAAUUUGUAAAAUAAAAAAAGACUUUAGUGUGUCAACUUUUAUAUAUAUAUAUAUAUAUA